UUUGGUGGCGAUGGCGGAGGGGUUCCACGCGUACCCAUCCCGAACACGACCGUUAAGCCCUCCAGCGCCGAUGGUACUUGGAC
rnacentral:rRNA from 1 species